UGCUAGAUGCUCUGGUAGAAUCCUUUUGU
rnacentral:piRNA from 1 species